rnacentral:rRNA from 1 species
UACGUAGGGGGGCUAGCGUUGUCCGGAUUUAUUGGGCGUAAAGAGCGUGUAGGCGGCCAGGUAGGUCUGCUGUGAAAACUCGAGGCUUAACCUCGAGAUGUCGGCGGAAACCCUCUGGCUAGGAGUCCGGAAGAGGAGAGUGGAAUUCCCCGGUGUAGCGGUGAAAUGCGCAGAUAUCGGGAGAACAGCCCGUGGCGAAGGCGGCUGCUCUGGGACGGUGACGUGA